GGUACCGGCUGGCCAAGCGGAAUGCAGCUUUGGUGGUCGCUGAAGCAAAAACGUGGGCAUGGGAGGAGUUCGGUGAGACCAUGGAGAAAGACUUCCGGACGGCUUCGAGGAAAUUCUGGUCCACCAUCCGACGUCUCAGGAGGGGAAAGCAGUGCACCAUCAACACUGUGUAUCGUGGGGAUGGGGCGCUGCUGACCUCGACUCGGGACGUUGUGAGCCGGUGGGGAGAAUACUUCCUCAAUUCCACCGACACGCCUUCCCAUGAGGGAGCAGAGUCUGGGUUCUCUGAGGCGGGCUCUCCUAUCUCUGGGGUUGAGGUCACCGAGGUGGUUAAAAAGCUCCUCGGUGGCAAGGCCACAGGGGUGGAUGAGAUUCACCCGGAGUUCCUCAAGGCUCUGGAUGUUGUAGGGCUGUCCUGGUUGACACACCUCUGCAACAUCGCGUGGACAUCGAGGACAGUGCCUCUGGAUUGGCAGACUGGGGUGGUGGUCCCCCUUUUUAAGAAGGGGGACCCGAGGGUGUGUUCCAACUACAGAGGGAUCACACUCCUCAACCUCCCUGGUAAGGUCUAUUCAGGGGUGCUGGAGAGGAGGGUCCGUCGGGAAGUUGAAUCCCAGAUUCAGGAGGAGCAGUGUGGUUUUCGUCCUAGCCGUGGAACAGUGGACCAGCUCUACACCCUUGGCAGGGUCCUCGAAGGUGCAUGGGAGUUCGCCCAAACAGUCUACAUGUAUUUUGUGGACUUGGAGAAGGCGUUCGACCGUGUCCCUCGGGUGGUCCUGUGGGGGGUACUUCGGGAGUAUGGGGUACCGAACCCUCCGAUACGGGCUGUUCGGUCCCUGUACGACCGGAGUCAGAGUUUGGUCCGCAUAUCCGGCAGUAAGUCGGACUCGUUUCCGGUGAGGGUUGGCCUCCGCCAAGGCUGCCCUUUGUCACCGAUUCUGUUCAUAACUUUUAUGGACAGAAUUUGUAGGCGCAGCCGAGGCGUAGAGGGGGUCCGGUUUGGUGGCCUCAGUAAUGCAUCUCUGCUUUUUGCAGAUGUAGUUCUGUUGGCUUCAUCAAGCCGUGACCUCCAACUCUCAUCGGAGCAGUUCCCAGCCGAGUGUGAAGCGGCUGGGAUGAGAAUCAGCACCUCCAAAUCUGAGACCAUGGUCCUCAGUCGGAAAAGGGUGGCGUGCCCUCUCCGGGUCGGGGAUGAGAUCCUGCCCCAAGUGGAGGAGUUCAAGUAUCUUGGGGUCUUGUUCACGAGUGAGGGAAGAAUGGAACGGGAGAUCGACAGGCGGAUCGGUGCAGCGUCUGCAGUGAUGCAGACUUUGUAUUGAUCCGUUGUGGUAAAGAAGGAGCUAAGCCGAAAGGCGAAGGUCUCGAUUUACCGGUCGAUCUACGUUCCUACCCUCACCUAUGGUCACGAGCUGUGGGUCGUGACCGAAAGAACGAGAUCCCGGAUACAAGCGGCCGAAAUGAGUUUCCUCAGCAGGUUGUCUGGGCUCUCCCUUUGAGAUAGGGUGAGAAGCUCGGUCAUCCGGGAGGAUCUCAGAGUUGAGCCGUUGCUCCUUCACAUCGAGAGGAGCCAGAUGAGGUGGCUGGGGCAUCUGAUUCGGAUGCCUCCCGGACGCCUCCCUGGUGAGGUGUUCCGGGCACGUGCCACCGGGAGGAGACCCCGGGGACGACCCAGUACACGCUGGAGAGACUACUUCCUUCGGCUGGCCUGGGAACACCUCGGGAACCGCCCGGAAGAGAUGGAUGAAGUGGCUGGGGAAAGGGAAGUCUGGGCGUCCCUCCUGGAGCUGCUGCCCCCGUGACCUGACCUCGGAUAGGCGGUAGAAGAUGGAUGGAUGGAUGGACUUUCUCUUACCGUAGUCUUAGGUUGAAUCAUAUCGAGCAAUGUCACCAUUUCUUUAAUACAAUUGUAGUUUAGUUUCUUGGGUCAAACUAAGUUUGGCUUCCUUAAAGGUCAGAGGACAAAGAUGUUAAAAAUUUUCUUGAUAAUUCUAGAACCCCUUUAAAAACCACGUCUGCCAUUUCGAAGUUAUUAUAUAGCAAAUAUACAGCAGUUACAUCGAUAAAUAUGAUGCAGAAUGCGCCUUCUGCUUUUUGCAUCUAGCGCCUUCCGGUCUUCGGCUCUAUCCGGCACUGUGACCUCACACGAGCCAAACAGCCUGUUCAUUCGGCAUUGUGUGCUAUUGUUCCAUGCCGUUGGUGGCAAGGAGUUGCAACGAGUGGCAAAAGUUUUUUUUGGGCUUUCCAAGUGAAAAACGAAUAAGUGACCAGUGGAUAGGGAAAGUCAAAUCGACAGGGGAAGAAACAUGAUCAGCUAUGGGUACCUAGAAAGCAUUCCAAAAUCUGUGCCUAUCACUUCGAACCGGUGUGUUUUGAGAAAGACCUGGCAGAAAGUAUUGGAUACAGAGGUCGAGGCUGAAACCAGCUUUUCCUAAGGCCAUCGGGACCUCAACCGCCAGCAACAGAACAAAAUCUUGCAGCCGCCACGGUGCCGCAACGAAGCGGUGUGGAUUUCCUUGUAUAUACCUACGCCUAUUAUGGUUACUAUCCACUGGGCAGUAGGAAAAAAAGACCCACGCAGUACUUUUCAGUACUGUCGUCUGUACUUUUGCUUAUUUGACAAGCCAACAGACAUGGCAAAGACUUUCUGUGCGGUGUGUUAUAACGCUACUCCAGCGAGGGGCACACAAUAUAUAGGUAUAAUGAAUAUUAUGUAAACGCUUGUGUCGUGUCACUGAAAUGUAUGAAUAUAUAAUGCAUAUAGUCGUGCUAAAAAAUAUUGGCAUCUCUGCGGUGUGAUUAUUUCAUGCCAUGACUGUAUAAAAAGACGUGCUUUUGGCAUACCGUCACGUGGACCCAAUGGCCACUCUCUUUUUCUGUUGUACUGCUGCUACUUGGCUGCUCGUCGUCAUCACCGUCAGGUUCUGACCUCCUGAUUGCCUCAAACGUACGGUAUGACGUUGCCAAGUUCAGUUGGGUGUUCCUGUAUGUCGAAAUCUUCCUCCGUAUAGAGUGUAGCGCGCUGUUUGGCAAUUGCAAUGUCACUUCCGGUAGCCCUUUCGGUGGAUAGAGUAACCGCACCCCGGUGUCUUGAGCUUCGGGUAUGUUCGGGGAGGGCUCAAUAUGCAUAAUAAAAUUGUUUGUUUUUUUAGCUAAACUAUCGUUUAAAACUUUCUGGAAGUUACGUGCAUGUAUUACAUAACAUAAACAAUGCAAAUAUGAAUUUUAACUGACCGCAUAACAUUUGUCAUCUGACCGUUAAAGCUAUAUUGGGUUAUGCUUUGUAAUACGUCAGUUUAUGACAGUCCCAACACAUGACAUUUUGAGGUAAUGACUGUCAUACUUACUGUAUUUCCAUGUGAUUGUUUUGUAUUUGCGGUCUAGAAGUGUUUCUAUCCACAUUUACUGUAAUUAUGGCUUGACUUAUGCAUUAACUGUCAUGAUACUAAUUCGUACUAAAUCAGCUUUGACUGGACCCAAAAGCAGACUGAAGCAGAGGGAGUGGAUUUAGAAUGGUAUAUUGAAGGUUGACUCAGGGUAAGGAUAUCCAAGGUGAGAUGGUGGACCGUCGGGACGUGAGCAGGUGGGGUAGCUUGGCGGCGUGGCUGGAGCGAACAUCGAGGCGGGGGCACGGAAGGAGCACUGGAGACGAAGGAGAACACGACGAUUCAGUCUGGAGAGGGAGGUUACGGGAGGAGAUCCAAACCAUCUGACCAGCCUUGUCUUCUGCCAUGGGAGAGCGAUGGAGAUUCAGCAGAACGAGUCAGAGCAGCCCAUACGGAUUGGACCCAUAAAGGAAGGUGCUCCAGGAGGCAGGAUUGCGAGCGGCAACACAGUGAAGAGCAGAUUCCAGGCUCUGGUUCGCCCGCUCUAUCUGGCCGUUGGAUUGGGGGUGGUAGCCAGAAGACAGACUGGCUGCUGCGCCCACCGCCUUGCAGAACUCCUUCCAGACAUGGGAGGAGAACUGAGGACCUCUGUCUGAGACGAUGUCUAUUGGAAUGCCAUGAAGCCUGAAUAUGUGGAGGACUAAGAGGUUGGCAGUUUCAAAAGCAGAGGGCAACUUGGGGUACAUAAUGGACACACUUGGAGAAACGAGCUAUGAUGGUGAAGAUGACUGUGUUACCUUCAGAGCACAGGGAUGUAAUUUUUGGGACACAGGGUCUCGCUGGGAGAGGACGGCUCCAGCUCCCAUGUCAGAGGCGUCAACUUCCACGAUGAACUGCAGGGAAGGGCCGGGGUGUCUCAAGAUGGGGGCACUGGUGAAUAGUUCCUUAAGGCGUUCGAAUGCUUGCGAUGCGGCAGGGGAACUGGUUGAGGUGAGACUGGUGAGGGGGACAGCAACCUUGCUGUAGUCAAGCAUGAACCGACGGUAGAAAUUGGCGAAGCCGAGGAAUCGUUGCAGCUCCUUGCGGGUGGAGGGAAUAGGCCAGUCGACAACGGCUUGGAUCUUAGCCGGGUCAGGUUGUAACUGACCCUUUGCAAUGAUGUAUUCUAAGACGUGAAUGGAGGAGAGAUGGAAUUCACACUUCUCUGGUUUAACAAAAAGGCGGCUUUCGAAUAGGCGCUGAAGGACUUGGCAGACAUGCUGGUGAUGUACGUCAGGGAGCGAGAGAAGAUGACGACGUCGUCAAGAUAUACAAAGACGAACCGGUUGAGCAUGUCACGGAGGACGUCGUUGGUGGUUUGAAAACUGCGUGGGCGUUGGUUAAUCCAAAAGCCAUGACCAGGUGCUGUGUGUCUGAGGGGAGUGUUGAAGGCAGUCUUCCAUUCGUCCCCCUCUCGAAUGCGGAUGAGAUGAUACGCGUUGCGUAGAUCCAACUUGGUGAAUAUUUGAAUGUUGCAGAGGGGUUCAAAGGAUGGGUCAAUUAGUGGCAGGGGGGCUUUAUUUUUCACUGUCAUUGAGACCACGGAAGUCAAUACAAAGGCGGAGAGUGGUAUCUUUCUUGUUGACAAAAAUGAAUCCGCCCCCCAGUGGAGAAGAGGCGGGGCAGAUGAGUCCUGAGGCAAGGGAGUCGCGGAUAUACUCCUCCAUAGCUUCCUUUUCAGGAUGGGACAGGUUAAACAGGCAGCUGGAAGGGAGAGGGGCACAGGGCUGGAGGUCAAUGGCGCAGUCAUAGGGGCGGUGGAGGGGAGUGAAAUGGCAAGAUCUUUACUGAACACUGGCGAAAGGUUGUGGUAUUUCUCCGGAACCCGGGAGAGAUCGACAGGUGUGGCAGGUGGCGGAGGUUUACUGGAGGGAGGAAUGGCCAGGAGAAGACAAUGGGAGUGACAGAAUGGACUCCAAACAGUGAUGGACAAGAGGCAGCAUUGGUCUGUGGGGUAACUAAAUGGUUGAAGGUCAAAGACUAAUGAGCAGUUUAAUAAAAAUUGGCUACAUGAUCCUAGGUCCCCAGAGUACAGUCGGAGGAGGAACGUGUGGCUCUUUGUACAGGAGGUGGGGUUGAUCGGAGGCUGUGGGCUCGGGAGCAAUACUCACGGAAGGAUUGCUGAAGUGGCUCUCGGAUGACCGAAGGGAUACUUGUUGUGUGAGGGUAUUCAAAGAUUCCAUGAUCUCGCGGAGGGCUUUGUCCUGUCUGCCUAUUUGCGUGUCCUGAUGGGUGAGCGCUUCCCUCUACGCUUUUGAUGUUGCUGGGUCCAUGAUGGCCAGAGUAUUCUGUCACGAUACUAAUUCGUAUCAGCUUUGACUGGACCCAAAAGCAGACUGAAGCGGCGGGAGUAGAUUUAGAAUAGUUUAUUGAAGGUUGGCUCAGGGUAAGGAUAUCCAAGGUGAGAGGGUGGACCGUCGGGACAAGGAGCGAGCAGGAAGCAGGGAUGUGAGCAGGUGGAACUGCAGGAAACAACCACGACAUUAACUUAGGUUAGUGAUGGACUAUGGCACAUUUGGACAAAUUUCUUUUUGUCGCUUCAGUAGGAUCGGAACUCCUAAACAGGACACCCAUAACCUCAAAUCAUGAAACAGGCUGUUGUUUGGGUACAUGCAAUUAUUCAAACAAUCAAUCUAAAUAUUCUUACAAAAUCGGUAUUUUUAAAUGGAACUCCAAAGUAUUGAUUCACAGUAACAAUUGCAGGUUUAUUUAAAAGAUCUGCCUGUGAAGUUAGAGGUCAAUGUGUUACUUCGUCUUAUGAACAUCUUUUUACCUCUUCAUGCCUUC